GACGUAGGAUGCAAGCGUUGUUCGGAUUUAUUGGGCGUAAAGCGUACGUAGGCGGUUCGGUAAGUGGGAGGUUAAAGACCAGGGCUCAACCCUGGGAGUGCCCCCCAAACUGUCGGACUAGAGGAUCAUAGGGGAAGGUGGAAUUCCGAGUGUAGCGGUGAAAUGCGUAGAUAUUCGGAGGAACGCCAGUGGCGAAAGCGACCUUCUGGGUGACACCUGACGCUGAGGUACGAAAGCAUGGGGAGCAAACAGG
rnacentral:rRNA from 1 species